GAGGGAAAGGCGAAAAGAACCCCGGCGAGGGGAGUGAAAAAGAACCUGAAACCGUGUACGUACAAGCAGUAGGAGCCCCAUCACUCAAGUGCCUCGCACUGAGUGAUGCAAUAACAUCACCGAAAAUAGCGUAGCAUUUGCUAACAAGGUUGGUCGAUUUUUUCAAGCCGUCGCGCAGUGUACCUAGAAGUACACGAGCAACGGAAGUUAAAAAAUCGGGCAAGAUUGAACGCAAAGGCAAGCGGGACAUUUGAGGAUGGGGUGACUGCGUACCUUUUGUAUAAUGGGUCAGCGACUUAUAUUCUGUAGCAAGGUUAACCGUAUAGGGGAGCCGUAGGGAAACCGAGUCUUAACUGGGCGAAUGAGUUGCAGGGUAUAGACCCGAAACCCGGUGAUCUA
rnacentral:rRNA from 1 species